CUGUUGGUGCUGGAGUAGUCUCAGGAGCAAUAAUUGGCACUUUCCUGGGCAUCGUCCUGCUGGUUGUCGGAGGAUUAUAUCUGUUCCGUUACAUUGUCAGGAGGAGAGCUCGGAGUGAGACAAUUUUCUUCAAAGGAGCCAGUGCCGCUGAACGGGGUAAGGCUGGUGGCAAACCCGGGACCGUCAGCAAAGGACCUGUGCUCUACGCCACCCUGGACCAGAGCAAGAGCGGCAAGGCGGGCAGCGAGAAGAAAGGCAAACUCUCCGAGUCCAAGCGGGAUAAGAAAUAGCGGUCAGCCUUGCCGCGGGCACCGGGCGGGCGCGCACCCGCCGGCGGUCCGCGGGUCCUCAUGACCAUUGAGAUGACGCUGACCGACUCCGACACUGGCAGCGACACGGAGGCCAGGCAAGCCCCAGGCGGCCAGGGGAACGCCAAGCGGAAGAAAGGACCCAACGCCAAAUGAACCGACCAUCUCCCCCGCCUCUCUCGCUCACCCACCGCCCUCCUUUCUUCCUUCCCUCGCUCUGCCGCCCACUCCCUCUUCCCCGCCCCGCCCCUCACCGUGCCAAAUAAAGACCGCGUACUGACAUUCACCCCCCCACUUCCCCCCUCCCCCAAUACUGACCCCGGCCAGCUCCCACAGAGAGGCGCAUGCCCAGUUACCCAUCAGCCCCUGCUGCCGCAUCGCGCCGCGGCCCUCUCUUCGAAGCGCCCUCCAUUCGCCGGCUCUGCUCUCUCUCUCUUCCGAGACGCACACCCCUUGCCCCCCACCCAUCUCUGCCCCGUGGCUCACCUCCACACCCCACCUUUCGCCCUCUCCCCAUCGCCCCACACACCCCUCCACCACCCCACCCCACUCCAAAGUGGAUUUUCCAGCCUCAUGUUUGACCGGAUGGAGUGGGGCGAGGAGGGGGGGGGGGGGCAGGAGGAGGAGA